rnacentral:lncRNA from 1 species
GAGCGAGGCUGCUCUGGGACCCCAAGGAGUGGGGGCCGUCUGACCCGUCCCGGCCUCGCUCCGCUCCUUCUAGCCUCUCUGCUCGUCUCUUGGUGUCUCCUCUCUUCCGGAUCUUCACGGGUUUCCACUUUCCUCUGUCAGUUUCUCCGACCGGCUCCCCAAGGCCAUCGGCUCCCCCUGGCCCUUCCAGCCACUCUUAUUUAUCCCGCGGCCAGAGGUGGGAGAAAAGGGAUUACGCUGAGGGGGGUGGCCCCUGGAGGAGGGGGACGACGGGGCGGUAGGGACUCCCGGACGCAGCAUAGAGGUGCUGGGGGCUUGGGGCGGUAACUCAUCCAACAAUUACCCCCGCCACCAAAACUCAAGACCCCUCUCCACUCUCAGUCCCGCUCCCCAGAGGGACAAGGGGCGGAGUCUCGUCAAGACUCGAGGCCACCCGGCCGCACGGCCCCGGCAGCUGCUCCCGCCACCGACCCCCGCCCCCGCCAGCCCCCCGCCGGACCCGAGUCCGCUCCGGAUCCGUGCCGGGUUUCCUCCGCGUCGCUGGGGUCUCCGCCCCCGGGAGCCGCUGCCGGGCCGAGCCCGAGCUUCGCGGCCGGAGCCGCCCGCCCCGCCCCGCCCCGCCCCCCCCCCCGCAGCCUCUGGGUGCCCGCCCGAGCCCCAGCGCAGACCCUCGUUCGCAGCCGAGCUCUGAGUCCGCACCGGACGGCGCGGCCGGGUCCCGCGCGUCCUCCGAAUUUGACCCUCGGGGCUCCGAAGUGACCCCUGUCUCGGGACCAUUUGCUGUCUGCGCGGCCUGCCCGCUCCGCUUCUCAGCAUCCCGGCCCCGGCUCCGGCGAGUUCCAAGAAGCUGCGACCUCAAGGGCAUCAAUAUUUCAGGUGUGUGGGGUGGUGGAGUGGGGAGGGGGGGCUCCCAGCAGGCCACAGUGAUGACUACAAUCAUCCCUCCCCAUGGUAAUCAGUCACAUUUAUGUGAUUGAGAGAAUGGAUACAAGGAUGUGGGGAUGUGGAUGGCAAGGGAAAUGCUGCCCCUCUUCCUGGAGCUUGGUGCAGGAGAUGCCCAAACUACAUCUCCCACAGUGCCCUGGAGGCACAGGGCUGCCUCUGCCUGGACACCUUAUAGGAGUCAUAGUUCAAGGGGACAGGUUGGAGAGCACUGUGCUGGAGGGUGGGAAAGGGUCAGAGUGUGGAGCAAGGGUUGUGGGGCCAGGGGGCUGCUUUGGCUUGGCCUGGAACCCCCAACCUGCUUUGUUCCCAGCACCCACCUCCCCCAGGGUUUAAGGACCUUGGAACCUUUGUGUCCCCCCAAAAAGGAAAAGGAGUAGAGUGGUGCCUGGGAAGAAAAGAUGGAGGAUGAAUUGGCAAGCUUUCCCUUCCUCCCUGUGACCCUGGGCACUGCCCCGCCCCCCCCACCCCCCCCCCCCCCCCGCCCCCCCCAAAGCAACCUUACUGAGACAGAAAGAAACUUGUUGGAAUUAGUCUCCCCACCUUGAAAGCCAGGAAGGGAAACCGGAGCCUAGUAUCUUGAACUAGCUGGAUGUAUUCCAGUCUACAAGUUGCUCACAUUCUGCCUCCUUUGGGGGGCAGUGCAGAAUUGCUGGAGCUGUCACUGAACUGCCAGCUAGUAUUUUCCAGGGACCCAUGAACAGCUAGUGAGGUUGCCUGGAAUGCAUAUGGGAGCCACCAGCUAACCUGGGCGCCUCUGGGGCCCAUCAUCCCCAGAGCUUGGUGCAAGGAGUCUGAUCCUUGAGCUUGCUGCUGGCAUAGGACCUGCUGACAGUGCAGGAGGACAGGGCGGGGGGCAUCUCUGAUUCUGAGUGAGCUUAGCCCUUGCCACUUGAGAGCUGUGACUUCUGUCAGACCCAGUAACUCCUAUCCUUGCUCUUCAGGCUGGGUUUGGAGAUCCAGAUACACCAAAAGGAGGUCUCCCCCACUGGGCUGGGAGCCAGGAAAACUUAACUUUUAGCCUGGCUCUGCUCA